rnacentral:rRNA from 1 species
UGGGGAAUCUUGGUCAAUGGGCGCAAGCCUGAACCAGCGAUGCCGCGUGAGUGAUGAAGGCCUUCGGGUUGUAAAGCUCUGUGGGGCGAGACGAAAGCGUAGGGUCUAAUAGGCCCUGCUUUGACGGUAUCGCCUUAGCAAGCACCGGCUAACUCUGUGCCAGCAGCCGCGGUAAGACAGAGGGUGCAAACGUUGCUCGGAAUCACUGGGCGUAAAGGGCGCGUAGGCGGGUAGAUAAGUCGGGCGUGAAAUCCCUAGGCUCAACCUAGGAACUGCACUCGAAACUGUUUGCCUUGAGUACCGGAGAGGAAAGCGGAAUACCUGGUGUAGAGGUGAAAUUCGUAGAUAUCAGGUGGAACACCAGUGGCGAAGGCGGCUUUCUGGACGGUAACUGACGCUGAGGCGCGAAAGCGUGGGGAGCAAACAGGAUUAGAUACCCUGGUAGUCCACGCUGUAAACGAUGAGCGCUAGGUGUCGUGGGUA